AACGAACGCUGGCGGCAUGCCUAACACAUGCAAGUCGAACGGAUGCAGCAAUGCAUCAGUGGCAGACGGGUGAGUAACACGUGGGAAUCUACCCAGUAGCCUGGAAUAACCGCGGGAAACUGCGGCUAAUACCGGAUACGCCCCUCGGGGGAAAGGAGCAAUCCACUAUUGGAGGAGCCCGCGUCCGAUUAGCUAGUUGGUGAGGUAACGGCUCACCAAGGCGAUGAUCGGUAGCUGGUUUGAGAGAACGACCAGCCACACUGGGACUGAGACACGGCCCAGACUCCUACGGGAGGCAGCAGUGGGGAAUAUUGGACAAUGGGGGAAACCCUGAUCCAGCAAUGCCGCGUGGGUGAUGAAGGCCUUCGGGUUGUAAAGCCCUUUUGGCGGGGACGAUGAUGACGGUACCCGCAGAAGAAGCCCCGGCUAACUUCGUGCCAGCAGCCGCGGUAA
rnacentral:rRNA from 1 species